GAUGAACGCUGGCGGCGUGCUUAACACAUGCGAGUCGAACGGGAUCCGAGGGGUGCUUGCACUUUUUGGUGAGAGUGGCGAACGGGUGAGUAACACGUGAGUAACCUGUCCUUUUCUUUGGGAUAAGCAUUCGAAAGGGUGUUUAAUACCGUAUGUUCUGUCUGCCUCGCAUGGGGUGGGUGGUAAAGGCUUUGGCCGGAUUUGGGUGGGCUCGCGGUCUAUCAGCUUGUUGGUGGGGUGAUGGCUUACCAAGGCUUUGACGGGUAGCCGGCCUGAGAGGGUGGUCGGUCACAUGGGGACUGAGAUACGGCCCAGACUCCUGCGGGAGGCAGCAGUGGGGGAUAUUGCACAAUGGGCGAAAGCCUGAUGCAGCGACGCCGCGUGGGGGAUGAAGGCCUUCGGGUUGUAAACUUCUUUUGCUCUGAACAAGGCAUGCCAGUGGGUGUGUUGAGUGUAGGGGUUGAUUAGCGCCGGCUAACUACGUG
rnacentral:rRNA from 1 species